GCAACGUGGAGGCUGAGAUAGCUUCAGGAGGCCAUAGGCUAGAGCUACAGCUGGUGCCCUCUUUUCCUGCUUGCUGUUAUUUACCUGGCGCUAGCAACUAGGAGAGAGUAACAAAGAGCGUGGAGACCUGUGAGGCUCGAAGGACCUGGAUGGAGAGAGACAGCAUCAGAAUGUCCGAGGGGCAGCCGGGAUGUGCCCCAGGCUGCAGGGCCCAGCAGACAUGUCUUUGGAAAAGAUUUGAGAUGAGCCAGUAACUUUGGCCUCUUGACUUCUACUCCCCGUAUAUUCAGCUGAAUAGUCUGUGGCCCAUGGCCUAGCAAGAUGGCAGCUGGCUUGAAAAACACAAUUUAUACGAAGCUGCUUUGCUCAGUGAAGAAAUGAAGAGAGCAUUUUGGACCAAGUGAGAACAGAACAAACACCAGUAUCUCUGAUGGCUGAUUCAAAGUGAACACCAUUCACAGCAUUUGUGAGAAACCAGAUGGAGCGUCCAGGUCAAUGGAAUGAAAAUGGACUUACUCGACUCAUAAGGACUCAGAACAUUCAGAAAAUAAAAACCUAUGUGCAUUAACUUAACAAUGGAAGGAAAAUAAAGGCAAUUCUUAAGAAACUAAAGAAAGAUAUGGGCCUAAAAGCCUAUUUGGGAUUAUGAAUUAGAUGCUGUUGAAAAAUUACGUGAAUAUAAAAUGCAUGGUGAGACAUCCACUCUGAAGUUAUCCAUGAAAACGAGAUGGGCAGCCCAGAGAGCAGUCAUUGUUCUACGCACUUUACAGACGAGGAGUCCAUGCAUCGAUCAGUGAGGAAAAGGGACUCUCCAAGGCCACACUCGGGUAAAGUGUAGCUAGACAGAAGGAGGUGAAGCAGUGUCUCUGAUAUCACAGGACCAGUGACAAUAGCCAGACUUCACAGUUGUAAGGAAUCCUGUGUGAUCUGCAGGUGUGACUUACAUUAUUUGCAGCUCCUGGACAGUGAGAUUCACCAUCUGCUCCAAGAUUUCUGGGAAAGACAUAACCCUGCUCUUCCGCUGCACGUCAGCUCACUCUGCCACACCAUCCUGCCCGAGGACUCUGUAUCCUGCUCACAGGCUGAGAAGAAUAGACUUAAGAGUAAGCAAACAUAGCUGACAUAACUAGCAUUUCUGAGGAAGAGAACUGCCACUCAAGCCUCCCACCUUACAGUACCAUCCAGAUGCUCACAACAACAGACCCAUCAGUCACUCGGGGCUCAACACUUAUUAGUGCUGCCGAGACUCUCCGUAAGCACAUUUUGAAAAGAAGGAUGAUGGGACAUAGACCCUGCAUGGUGGAUAUCAUAAACAAGCGAGAGAAUGUGAAGAGAUGAGAAACACAGGAGAAGAGAAUUGCCUGCACCGGGCAGCAGGGGAGGACACUGACAGUGAACGGGGGCUGCAGACACUGAGCAGAAGUCCCAUCAGUCUCCUAGCUACCAAGACUCCACUGUAUAGAGACAUAAUUUAGCCCCUACACCUACUUCCCUCCCACGUCGACUCCUUCCAAGUUCCUUAGCCUCCUCCUCCUUUCCAUUCCCAGAGUCAUCCAGAGCAAAAUCAAAUAGCUGUAGGAAGAUACCAAUAAUAUUUACCAUCUGGCCCUUCAGAGGAAUAGUUUGCUGACCCCCCAAGAUACCCAAAAGUUUUCCUUGGCAAACAAAAGAGGAGAGGAUGAAGGGCUUGGAUUCCUCAGGAAUGCUGCAGCCCAGGUCACCCCUCCCAGAACCCCCCACCUCUCCUAGUCUCCCUGGGUUGCACACACCUGCACCUCAUUAGUGGCUAGUUGGUCGUGGGGAAGAAAGAAACCUCUGACAGAGGGGUUUGCUGAAAUUCUCAGUUGGAGGAGGACAAGAUGGAGGAAGAGACCUUAUUGCUAAAAUGAAGUCGAGGCUCGUGUCUCAGUCAUGAAUUAUAGGCCAAAUGCUUCCCCCCUUUUUUUCUCUUCUCUUUUUUUCCCCCUCUAUAGAAUUGUACCUUUUAAUGAGCAUGGACAGUGCAGAGGCUUAGCUGUCUGGGGAGGAGAAAAGGGCCCAGUCACAGUACCAGGUGACUUCCCCCUGGGGCUAGUCUGUGAUCAGCAGAGCACUCACCGCUCAGAUGCCUUCCAGUAUCUGCCUGCUUUUCACUGGGAGAUGUGGGCCAGAAGGGUCAGAAGCCAGUUCUCCUGGCUUCUGAGCUGAGCCUGGUUAACAGACCUCCAGCAUGGCAGUGGCAAGGUGAUUCCUUUCUCUCCUACUUAACAUAAUUAAGUUGAACAUUGACCAGAUUUUUCUCUGUGUCACCCAACCAAUCACAGCAAAAGAGUACCGACAGCAGAAUACCUGCUUUUUUUCUUUUUAUUUUAUUUUAUUUACUUAUUUUCCCUUUUGUUGCCCUUGUUUUUUUAUUGUUGUAGUUAUUGAUAUCCUCAUUGUUAGAUAGGACAGAGAGAAAUGGAGAGAGGAGGGGGAGACAAAGAGGGGGAGA